AUGAACGGAGAAUGUCGACUUGGAGGUUGUGCCCUUGAGGCGUGGCUUCCGGAGCUAACGCGUUAAGUCGACCGCCUGGGGAGUACGGCCGCAAGGUUAAAACUCAAAUGAAUUGACGGGGGCCCGCACAAGCGGUGGAGCAUGUGGUUUAAUUCGAUGCAACGCGAAGAACCUUACCUACUCUUGACAUCCAGAGAACUUACCAGAGAUGCAUUGGUGCCUUCGGGAACUCUGAGACAGGUGCUGCAUGGCUGUCGUCAGCUCGUGUUGUGAAAUGUUGGGUUAAGUCCCGCAACGAGCGCAACCCUUAUCCUUUGUUGCCAGCGGUCCGGCCGGGAACUCAAAGGAGACUGCCAGUGAUAAACUGGAGGAAGGUGGGGAUGACGUCAAGUCAUCAUGGCCCUUACGAGUAGGGCUACACACGUGCUACAAUGGCGCAUACAAAGAGAAGCGACCUCGCGAGAGCAAGCGGACCUCAUAAAGUGCGUCGUAGUCCGGAUUGGAGUCUGCAACUCGACUCCAUGAAGUCGGAAUCGCUAGUAAUCGUAGAUCAGAAUGCUACGGUGAAUACGUUCCCGGGCCUUGUACACACCGCCCGUCACACCAUGGGAGUGGGUUGCAAAAGAAGUAGGUAGCUUAACCUUCGGGAGGGCGCUUACCACUUUGUGAUUCAUGACUGGGGUGAAGUCGUAAAAGGGGUAACCCAAAGAGGAGGGGGGGGCCCUCCCCAAAAAU
rnacentral:rRNA from 1 species